rnacentral:lncRNA from 1 species
CACCUGAACUACAAAGAAAGGCUCUUGGUGAGUGACAGCUACCUCUCUGCCAAGCUUGUUGGCACAUACCUGGGCCUUGUCCUGAACCUUGUCCUGAGAGCAGAGGGUGCCUCCUGAAGACAUCAAAGUCUCAUAUAGUAUGUACCGGGAGGACUGGCCAUUACCAUUGUUCACAGACAGCUUCUCCAGGGUGAUUGGCUCUUUGGACUCAUUUGGCCGUUAGGGAGACCAAGAGAGGGAAACAAGAUGGCAGGCAGUGCUGAAGAGGAAACAGAGGAAGAAAAUACAAGCUGCCUUCAUUGAAGGGAUUACCAGGAAAGAAAUGCUGGUUGGACUGAGGAAAGACGUGCUUGCUGGACCAAGGAAAGACAACAAACCUCUGGAUACAAGCAGGGGAUCUAAGGUUUUCACUGCAGCUACCAAGCUGAAUGUUCAGAUUCUGAACCCACAAGAGGCAGACAGAGGAAGCAGUAUGGUGACCAGAUCCCAGGGCUAACAGGCUGAAGGCCCUUCAAGAGCUUAAAG